ACGAGCAGGUGAUAAGAACUGACAGUGAAAACAAACAAACUGGCUGAGGGGCAAGAAAAUGAGAGUGAUCAAGAUGAGAGCGAUAUUUUUUUAUCCCUCUUCUCAUUAGCAGUCAAUUUACUAUAGUCCACUUUAAUCAUCAUUGGCAGUCCAUUGCAGGUGAUGUUGACUGAGAAACAGUUAAGUGCUUUAGGGGCAUUGAUGCACUGCAAGUUCAGCAUGUGAGCAGCACAGUCUACUGCAAUGGUUGCAUUUAAGACUGUCAGUUGUUGGUGUGCCUCCUUUUGUGAGCUGCUUGAAACUCUGUUGGCGACAGCUGAUUCCCCCCCCCCUCUAUAUCCAACCCCAUUGAUAAAUAACGAUUGUCACCUUAGUAAGAUUUUUCAGUGAUUUUUACUUUCCCAAACUUAAUUUCCCUGAAUGCACCGCUUUUAUUAGUUUCCGUUUAAGGAGAUAAAAGCAUAGCAUCUACCUACCUUAUUUGCUUUUGCAGGAAUUGCAUUUGAGAUGUAUUUAGAAACCGUCUAUAGACUGAGGAGUGUUUUGAUUGCAUCAAGUUGCAAUUGCUAUUUAGGUAUUCCAUGCAUGCAGGAGUUUUCAUGAACAAGUUCCUUUAAAUAGUAUGAAAUAUAAAUUGAUUGAAUGAAUUACUGAUAUUAUAGGAUACUUUUCACUGUGCUCAUGAACUGAGUACAGUUCUCCUUUAGGUUCAAAUAGUGUUGACCAUUGUUGAAGUGAUAUCUUACUGAAUGCAUUUUGAAUAAAUUUAUUUGUUUGAUUUGCAAAAGUGUGUUACUGUGCAACAAGAAUGGCUGCAUGAGUAAUGAGACAGAGCAAAUUAGAUGAAGUAGCAGGGAGGAUUCAGGGGAGGCUGAUGGUUUGGGAGGCAUUCCAGCUACACAGCCUCUGCCAGGGCCCUCACCACACCCCUGGAAAGGAGAGAUAUUCCUCCACAGUUGAGCAUAACUCUGGAGCACAUUGUUGGCCAGCUGGAUGUGCUCACACAGACAGUUUCAGUUUUGGAACAAAUGCUGACGAUGACUGGGAAUAAAUUUCGAAAAUGCCUGGGUAACCAACAGCGGCGUCAGUAUAAAGAGACUUAAUCGAGGGUCUCAAUGGGGUGAUGGCUUUUACGGCUAACGGUUAAAAUUUUGGCCAAUUUACGGCUAACGGUUAACACCUUUCCAUUGUUUCCCCCAGACAUAUUGUUUGCGGUAAACUUUUUUUACGACUAACGGUUAAAAUUUGUCAAUUUUUACGCCUAACGGCUAAAUUUUUUGGCCGUUUUACGGCUAACGGUUAUCCCCAUUAAGACCCUCUUAAUCACUAGAUAUUUUCAGAAUUCUUUUAAGACUAGUCUUUGUAUGGUAAUAUUGUAAACUAUGAGAGAAAUUUUCAACUGAGUGUCGAAAAUAGUCAUGGAUAUAGUCAUGGGCAUUGGUUUAGCUUGACUAUAGUCUGUUAUUGGUUUAGAGAGCCUAUGCCGCCCUCUUGACCAAUCAGGUACGAGCCUUAUCAAGAUCGAGUGUGGAGUAGGGCCAUUCGUAUAUUUCCAACGCUUCAGGCUCUUUGCCAGUUUUUUUCUUUGAGUUAUCUUUGGCAUUUUAUUAUAUUUCCUUUAUUAGAGCAGUUUCCAACUGAGUAUCAAAAGUGAUGCUGGAUUGCUUUGGUUUUGCUUCACUUCGUUGUGUGAUUGGUCCAGAAAACUCGUGUCACAAUCUCAACCAAUCAAAUGUAAAACUAAAACCAAACACGACUUGGUCACUCGCGUUUUCCCGCGCUUUAAGGAGGUUGCCUGUUUCUACUCUGUGUUCUCAUUGGCUAAUAAUCAUGGUAACCUUUUUUUCUGAUUGGUAGUUGUCAUCACAACUGGAUUUGGUUUUUCGAUACUCAAUUGAAAAGUGCUCGACGAUUGGCAGUUGUGAUCAAUUUGGAUUUGGUGAUCCAGUUGUGAUCAAUUUGGAUUUGGACACUCGAUUGAAAUUCGCUUUUUGAGAAUACAGUGUUGUAUAUCUGUGUGCAUGUACAUAUCAUAUAAAGUUACU